GUUAUGAUGUGGGAGUUCUCCCUGAUGGGACUACCAAUUUUGGUUUUCACAUGUAGAUGGAUAUUAUUAGUUUCCUACAAUAACUUUUCCUCUGAGGCAAUUUGACCUGGUUCAUGUCUAUAGUUUUUGGUGCAAAGAUCCUAGAGUUGGCCUUUAUAGGUCUAACUUCAACAACGCUAUAUUUGCUUCUAGAAAUAAUUCCAUUUUAUUUUGGCAGUUUCUACACAUUCUCAA
rnacentral:misc_RNA from 1 species